rnacentral:rRNA from 1 species
AUGAACGCUGGCGGCGUGCCUAAUCCAUGCAAGUCGAGCGAACGGACGAGAAGCUUGCUUCUCUGAUGUUAGCGGCGGACGGGUGAGUAACACGUGGAUAACCUACCUAUAAGACUGGGAUAACUUCGGGAAACCGGAGCUAAUACCGGAUAAUAUUUUGAACCGCAUGGUUCAAAAGUGAAAGACGGUCUUGCUGUCACUUAUAGAUGGAUCCGCGCUGCAUUAGCUAGUUGGUAAGGUAACGGCUUACCAAGGCAACGAUGCAUAGCCGAACUGAGAGGGUGAUCGGCCACACUGGAACUGAGACACGGUCCAGACUCCUACGGGAGGCAGCAGUAGGGAAUCUUCCGCAAUGGGCGAAAGCCUGACGGAGCAACGCCGCGUGAGUGAUGAAGGUCUUCGGAUCGUAAAACUCUGUUAUUAGGGAAGAACAUAUGUGUAAGUAACUGUGCACAUCUUGACGGUACCUAAUCAGAAAGCCACGGCUAACUACGUG